GCGAUGGGAAGGGCAACGCUGCUCUGCUUCCACUGCCACCGCCGGUGUGGUGAAUAUGAGAGAGGGUUUAAGGGCUGUGGCUGAAGAGAUCUGUUGGCGGUAACCUCAUCUGCUUGAAAUGCACUCUGUAGGAUCUCAUCAAUACUGCGAGAGACACGAGAGUUAAAGUUGCAGAGCUGUUUUUAUUCUGAAGGUGGUGUAGUAUGCAGACAUUUCCAUCUGGAGGGAACCUCUCCUUUGACCUCACAAUCAAUACCAUUCGACUCCUGACGAGGGACAGGCGAAUGACGUCAUUCCAGAACCAACAUCCCUGAUGCUGAAUAAAAAUCAGAAAAUCUACUGGCGCAUUUCUUCAGAUAUAUGAUGGGAAAUGUAUGAACUAAUUAAAAAAGGACAUUAUGACCUCUCUGCCAGUGUAGUGCAAUGUGUGUUUGUAUGUGUUUUUGUGUGUGUGUGUGUGUGUGUGUGUGUGUGUGUGUGU